rnacentral:rRNA from 1 species
AUUGAACGCUGGCGGCAGGCUUAACACAUGCAAGUCGAGCGAGCGGCGGACGGGUGCGUAAUCUCGGGGAAACUCCCUGAUGGAGGGGGAUAUCUUCUGGAAACGGUAGCUAAUACCGCAUCCUCUACGAUGUGCCCAGAGGGGUUUAGCUAGUAGGGGGGGUAAUGGCGCACCUAGGCGAAGAUCCCUCGCUGGUCUGAGAGGAUGACCAGCCACACUGGAACUGAGACACGUGCCAGACUCCUACGGUAGUCAGCAGUGGGGAAUAUUGCACAAUGGGCGCAAGCCUGAUGCAGCCAUGCCGCGUGUGUGAAGAAGGCCUUCGGGUUUUAAAGCACUUUCAGCGAGGAGGCGGUACUCGCAGAAGAAGCACCAGCUAACUCCGUGCCAGCAGCCGCGGUAAUAG